ACAUGUCUACAUCAUAGCGUUAAUGCAUCGGAUCCCAUUAUAACUCGAAAAUUAAGUGCACUCGGGCUAGAGUAGUACUGGGAUAGGUGACCGCCCGAGAAGUCCUAGUGUUUUACAUGCC
rfam:Picea glauca, whole genome shotgun sequence.